rnacentral:rRNA from 1 species
UGAAGCUGGAAUUGCUAGUAAUGGCAGGUCAGCAUACUGCCGCGAAUACGUUCCCGGGCCUUGUACACACCGCCCGUCACACCAUGAGAGUUGGAAAUACCCGAAGCCUGUGAGCUAACUUAAAGAGGCAGCAGUCGAAGGUAGAGCCAAUGAUUGGGGUGAAGUCGUAACAAGGUACC